UCUUCGGGGAUGAUUAAACCGGCGCACGGGUGAGUAACACGUGAGUGACCUGCCUUUUAGACUGGAACAACUUACCGAAAGGUGAGCUAAUGCCGGAUGAGUUAUAUAAGUGCAUGUUUAUAUAGGAAAAGUUGGGGAGACCUGACGCUGAAAGAUGGACUCGCGUCCCAUUAGCUAGUUGGUAGGGUAAUGGCCUACCAAGGCGACGAUGGGUAGCCGGCCUGAGAGGGUGGCCGGCCACACUGGGACUGAGACACGGCCCAGACUCCUACGGGAGGCAGCAGUGGGGAAUUUUGCGCAAUGCUCGUAAGAGUGACGCAGCGACGCCGCGUGAAUGACGAAGGCCUUCGGGUCGUAAAGUUCUUUCGACAGGGAAGAAAAUGCCUAUAAGUAACUGUGUAUGUAUUGACGGUACCUGUAUAAGCAGCCCCGGCUAACUCCGUGCCAGCAGCCGCGGUAAUACGGAGGGGGCGAGCGUUGUUCGGAGUGACUGGGCGUAAAGAGCACGUAGGCGGUGUUGUAAGUCAUUAGUCAAAGACUAGAGCUCAACUUUAGUAAGGCUAGUGAUACUAUAAUACUAGAGUAUCAGAGAGGAUUGCAGAAUUCCUGGUGUAGCGGUGAAAUGCGUAGAUAUCAGGAGGAAUACCGUUAGCGAAGGCGGCAAUCUGGCUGGAAACUGACGCUGAGGUGCGAAAGCGUGGGUAGCAAACAGGAUUAGAUACCCUGGUAGUCCACGCUGUAAACGAUGGAUGCUAGGUGUUGGGCUUUUAAGUUCAGUGCC
rnacentral:rRNA from 1 species